rnacentral:rRNA from 1 species
AUUGAACGCUGGCGGCAUGCCUUACACAUGCAAGUCGAACGGCAGCGGUCCUUCGGGUGCCGGCGAGUGGCGAACGGGUGAGUAAUAUAUCGGAACGUACCUUUCAGUGGGGGAUAACGUAGCGAAAGUUACGCUAAUACCGCAUAUUCUGUGAGCAGGAAAGCAGGGGAUCGCAAGACCUUGCGCUGAUUGAGCGGCCGAUAUCAGAUUAGCUAGUUGGUGAGGUAAAGGCUCACCAAGGCGACGAUCUGUAGCGGGUCUGAGAGGAUGAUCCGCCACACUGGAACUGAGACACGGUCCAGACUCCUACGGGAGGCAGCAGUGGGGAAUUUUGGACAAUGGGCGCAAGCCUGAUCCAGCCAUGCCGCGUGAGUGAAGAAGGCCUCGG